GUGUUCGCUUCCCCAGCACAUACACUAACCUUCGAACGACACAGAGAAGAUCAGCAUGGCCCCUGCGCAAGUAUGACAUGCAGAUUCGUGACGCGUUCCGUAUUUUU
ensembl:snRNA U6 U6 spliceosomal RNA